GAUGAAGAACGCAGCCAAAUGCGAUAAGUAGUGUGAAUUGCAGAAGUACCGUGAAUCAUCGAAUCUUUGAACGCAAAUUGCACUCUCUGGUAUUCCGGGGAGUAUGCCUGUUUGAGGGUCGCUUAACAAACCAUCGAUUUCGUUGCUUUUUUUUUAAAAAGUGAUGUUUAUCGGAUUUGAGCCGUCUUUUUUUUUUAUAUUUAAGUGGCUUAAAAUUGAUUUUUUUGGUACGAUCGAAGCGUAUUUUUAUGAUCAAUUUUUGGUUAAAGAAACGCACACGUACCGUUAUUUAUAUGAUGUAAUACGUUUGACUAUUGGAUUUAGUUCAUUCGUAUACGAUAUUUUUCAAUAUUUGACCUCAAAUCAGGUAAGAACACCCGCUGAACUUAAGCAUAUCAAUAAGCGGAGGA
rnacentral:misc_RNA from 1 species